rnacentral:lncRNA from 1 species
AGGUACCGGGGUCCUGGGGACCCCGGAUCGGAUACAGCAGCAAGGAGGUGGAACUGUCACGUCAAGCUGCACGGCUGCAACAGCGGCAGGGGGAACUGUAGCGGGCGUGAGCGUGGCGAGCGCUGGAAGCGGAGAGGAGGAUGUGGAAGUGUCUCGCGAGCUGAGCCGCUUCUUUUCGGGGCUGUUGGUGGAUCUUCAAGGCGCGGAGUUGGCAUUUGGCUCGAUGCGGAUCUGCGGCAGCAGCGGGACGGGAGGUCGUGAUGGCGGUGAGGCGGUGCUGGAGCUGGGCCUGCGAGCCACCGUCCGCAGCUUUCCUCCGCUGGACGUCCGCUUCUGACAGCGGCGAGUGAAUAGCCGAUGCGGGAAUACCGAAGCGCUGGGGGAAGUCUUGCAGAACCUAAUGCAGAGGGGAUUCAAGUUUCGAGUUGAGCGACGUUGAGCUGACUGUAGACAUGUGACAUGCAGAAUACGUGAGCAUCGUGAAGUUACCUUUCAUAUGAGAAAUGUAGUAAUGAAGAAGAAUUGCGCGGUUGAGAGAGGUAAGGGGCGGAAGACGCCUGGACGUGCUAUGUGACUGCGGGGUUUGAGAGGGCCGGGGUACGGUGAUUGUGGCUGGUGUUAUCCCAGGACUAGUUCGGAGGAUUCAUCUUUAAAGACAAGGUUGGCAAAGACAUACAUACGAAUUAAGGGUGGAACAGCGGACUGCAUAGAAGGGUCAUGGAAGGUGGACUGAGGCUUAUGGUUGUGAUACAAAUAAAGGACACUUUCGGGCAGCUGCGUUGUGCUCCUUCUCUUUGAUCAAGUUUCGUUGCUCGCUGAUCAAGCUGUCAUGCCAUUCUUGGCUUCGGUACGAGCUGCAGUGUGUUCCGUCGGUGAGCGAACUAACGGACACGUCCCACCAAAAAAAAGACCUUCGCUUCGCUCCGGAAAGAGCUGCUGGGAUUGUCAGAGAGAGAGAGAGGCGUAUUCACCCAACAUAGGUUAGCACACAAUACAGACUGAGAAUAAAUAGAAAUUAUGCAACCAAGCAGCAUGCACGGUCG